CUCGGACCUUGAAAAUCCAGGCGAGGGCCACGAGGAACACCGCGCCGGCUCGUACCCAUAUCCGCAGCAGGUCUCCAAGGUGAACAGCCUCUAGUCAAUAGAAUAAUGUAAGUAAGGGAAGUCGACAAACCCGAUCUGUAACUUCGGGAUAAGGAUUGGCUCUGAGGGUCGUGGCGCGCCGGGCUUGGUCGGGAAGUGGAGCGGUGCCAACGUGCCGGGCCUGGGCGAGGCGAAGGGCGCUCG
rnacentral:rRNA from 1 species